rnacentral:rRNA from 1 species
AUACGGAGGGGGUUAGCGUUGUUCGGAAUUACUGGGCGUAAAGCGGACGUAGGCGGACUGGAAAGUUGGGGGUGAAAUCCCGGGGCUCAACCCCGGAACUGCCUCCAAAACUUCCAAUCUAGAGAUCGAGAGAGGUGAGUGGAAUUCCAAGUGUAGAGGUGAAAUUCGUAGAUAUUUGGAGGAACACCAGUGGCGAAGGCGGCUCACUGGCUCGAUACUGACGCUGAGGUACGAAAGCGUGGGGAGCAAACAGGAUUAGAAACCCUAGUAGUCC